GCCAAACCUGGAGAGAAAAUAUUUAGAGAAAGGCCGAUCUUCAGCAGAAUCGGCUCUUGGAACCUUGGGAGCGGUCCUGGGCCUGCCUUCUGAGACACCCUGGGGUGCCCUGAGUCGGCGAAGCGGGCCAUGGCGGGCUCGUGGGCCCUCCCUGAGGCCGUGGGCCGUGAGGACAGCUCACCAUGUCUCUGAGGCUGCCUCACAGCGAGUGAGGAACCACAUGCUUACUGGAACUGGGAAAGUCUCCUCAGAGGACGCAGAUCUCACCGGCCCACCUUCUUGCUCUGCUGAGAAAGAAGGUGUCAGCAAGAGGCAAAGAAAAGGACAAGCAUCUUCCUUCACUCAGCAGACCACAGCGUGAGUUGCUUUGUUUCCUCACCUGGCACUGGGUCACGUGCAAGUGGGGCAGCCUCGAUGUCCCUCCCCGCCACACCUGCCACCUGCCCUGAAGAAGCAGCAGAUCUUUGCCUGGCCUCCCCAUUUGCAGGAUGACAAGGUCCUGCGGGUGAAUGUGCCAGCCCCGGCAGCGCCCCCCGCCCCCCCUCACGGAACCUGGAGCAUUCUGGGCUGGCCGAGGAACAAGCGCUUUCUUUUUAUGAGCCUGCAAACCUCCAGCCUCCCGGCCUCCCGCCCUCCCAGCUGGCCUGGCGCCAGGGGCCCACAUCACCACCCAGACCCGUGGCCCAGGCUGUUCCCGAUUCCGGAGCGUCUGAGUCACUGCGCCUCGGCCGCCUCGGUGAAAGCCUUCCAGAAGAAUAAAGCAACAGGCUCUCCUCGGGGCCGCUGAUCGCAAUCUAUCACCACGUCUGCCUUUGGACCUCCUUUUUCUGCGAGCCAUGAAUGCCUCUAAUCCGGCGACGCAGGCUGUGGGUGUCAAAUUGUGAACUGCUAAGCAGGGGAAGGA
ensembl:lncRNA